rnacentral:rRNA from 1 species
UCGACCUGAGCUCAAGCAAGACCACCCGCUGAACUUAAGCAUAUUGGGAUCC